CAUGCAGUCGAGCGGCAGCGGGAAGAUAGCUUGCUAUCUUUGCCGGCGAGCGGCGGACGGGUGAGUAAUGCCUAGGGAUCUGCCCAGUCGAGGGGGAUAACAGUUGGAAACGACUGCUAAUACCGCAUACGCCCUACGGGGGAAAGGAGGGGACCUUCGGGCCUUCCGCGAUUGGAUGAACCUAGGUGGGAUUAGCUAGUUGGUGAGGUAAUGGCUCACCAAGGCGACGAUCCCUAGCUGUUCUGAGAGGAUGAUCAGCCACACUGGGACUGAGACACGGCCCAGACUCCUACGGGAGGCAGCAGUGGGGAAUAUUGCACAAUGGGGGAAACCCUGAUGCAGCCAUGCCGCGUGUGUGAAGAAGGCCUUCGGGUUGUAAAGCACUUUCAGUAGGGAGGAAAGGUAAUAGCUUAAUACGCUGUUGCUGUGACGUUACCUACAGAAGAAGGACCGGCUAACUCCGUGCCAGCAGCCGCGGUAAUACGGAGGGUCCGAGCGUUAAUCGGAAUUACUGGGCGUAAAGCGUGCGCAGGCGGUUUGUUAAGCGAGAUGUGAAAGCCCCGGGCUCAACCUGGGAAUUGCAUUUCGAACUGGCGAACUAGAGUCUUGUAGAGGGGGGUAGAAUUCCAGGUGUAGCGGUGAAAUGCGUAGAGAUCUGGAGGAAUACCGGUGGCGAAGGCGGCCCCCUGGACAAAGACUGACGCUCAGGCAC
rnacentral:rRNA from 1 species